CCUCUCCUCUUCUCACUUUGUCACUUUUGAUAUUUUAUUCUUUGACAGGACACCCUUGUCCAGAGCAGCUUUCCGUCACGUUUUGCUUCAACAAAAACAGCUGUCGGGAAAGUUGGUGCAAAUAAGGAAGCAGUCUUGUUGGUGCAAAGAAAACAGGGUGUUAUGAUGGAUUUAUUUUUGUAGCCUUUUUUCUCUUUUCCUCCCUUUGUCUCUCCUAAACCAAAGAUCUGCUGAUAAUGUACGGACCUCUAGACAGACAGGCAGACAGACAGACAGAGCAGCACUAAGAUAGCUGUCCCCUCUAACCCUAAGAAGUGAUAAUCACUUCUGCCAACUCUCCGACAGUGUGGGUUGCACAGGAUAGUUACGCAACCUGCAGCAAAUUGAUUCCGCAGGAAAAGUGAAGAUCUGGCGAAAGGGUUGCCAUGGGGAUGGCUCUCUGAACUGUUCCUACUGAAUAGCUGUAAUUGGUGAUAAAAAUCAGGCGUUAAGCUGGCCAGACACGACAUUCAAAGGACUAAAUCAGUCGCUCUGCAGCUUAUAUGCUAGCUUCUCCCAUCAUCACUGCUGCCUCAUUAUUCUCUUAAAAGGCCUGAGCUCAUUCAGAAUCGAAUCAGAGGGCCUCAAAUUUCAAUUCAGUUCUUGAAUUUUAAUCGAUGUAGAAAAACAUGAGACUGAUUUCAAAUGCCUUUUGUAUUGACAGGCACUUUAAUAGACCUCUUUCCAUUCUGGUCCACCAAUUGGUGAAGUAUCCUUAAAAGAAUAUAUGCUUAAGAUUCAAAACUUGUUACAUACAAAGAUAUUGAAAUGUUGAAACAAACUUUCCAGAGAAAAGUAAACAUAUAUUUGAAUUUACAUCUCCAGAAAAAAAUAAGAGACCAUUGCACCUUUUUCUUUCCUUUCCAAAAAAGUUGAAAAGCAAAGUCGAGUGAGGAACAGAAGCGUUCAAUUUGCAGUGGUCUCUUAAUUUUAACCCUUCUGUUUCUCACUCAAAACCUUCCUUUUCAACUUUUCUGGAAAGCAAAGAAAAAGGUGCAAUGGUCUCUUAUAAAAUAUCACACUUCCCGAAAUGCAUUCAUUUACUCCCUCAAGUUGACCCAGAUUGCCUCUAAAAGCCAAGGAUAGAUAACUCGUUCUAUGCAUUUCUCAUUAUGGUUUCUGUUAGCACACGGCCAGCACCAUAAACACAUUUUCAAAGAUAUAUUUUUCGGGCACAUUUAAUUAUUUUUGCCAAAUAGUUUGAUAAGUGCUUAAUUUAUACAUACAUUUUGAUUUACAGCCAUAUGUAGGGCUGGAACAAAUUUUGGUCAAUAAUGUAUUCAGCUAAAUGGCGACAAUAUAGCCUACAGCUGAGGUAUUCAGCCCUUCAAAAGGUUAUGUCCAUAAAUCAUUACAAAAAAUGCUAACUAUAACUAUCAACAUGACUUUUUUCCCUGACUAUUAUUGUAUGCACUAUAAAAGACAAGUAAACAUAUUGCCACAGCGCAGGCUGUAUUCUGUCAAAUGAUGAUCCCCCCGAUGAUCUGGAUGAAUUAAUGUAAUCCUCCCAAACCCAUAGGCUGUCCCACCCACUUCACACAGCACAACAAGCUUUGCAUGCUAAAUAGCCUUUUUUUAGGCCUCCAUCCAUCCUCUUCCAAACAUUAAAUGGUUGGUUGAAAUAAAAUGUUCAAAGCACAAAGGUUAAAACAGUACACAGCAUGCAAUAUUAAAGAGAAAUAUCCCACAGUAUAUUCCAUUAUUAUUUAUCCUUUCAAACAAACUCUAAUGCAAAUCAUAAACUUACUAGGUGGUUCAAAUUCUGAAUGCUGAUUGGUUUAAAGCCAUUAAAUAUGUGAGACCUCACGGGUAUGAUAUUACAUUACUCUUUACCGUUCUAAUUACAUGGUAACUGGAUAAUAAUAGAAAUAAGGCUUCUUGUGGUUUGUGGUAUAUUUCCAAGAACAGCUCCUGGUUUUGACGUAGUGUCCAUAUAUCUUAUUGAUUAGUUUUAAAUGGAUUUUGGUGAUUAAAUUCCAAUUUCAACUCAUAAGUUAAAUGGAAAUCAAUUCUAACAUUCUUAUUUGAGCACCACCAUGUACCGUAAAUCAGAAGGGCUUCUCACAAGGAGUUAGAAUAAUGGUAAUAACAUUCCCAGAAACCUUCCCCCAAAAGUUUUGAAGGCUGUUACAACUUGGUUGACUGAUGAAAUAACGUUACCAUAGAAGCCAGCUAGUUAGCCAUUUGAAGGAACAUUUAAUUUAGUGUUGUAGGCUAUAGCUGGUUAACUUGUACGUAUAAAGUGGCUGGUUGAGACUAGACUGGAUGUAAUCUAAUGUCAGAAAUAUUGCUCAGUUCAUAGCCACAACUUGCAAUAUGAUUAGCUUCAAAUCAAAUGUGGCCAAUACACUCCUGAUAAUGCCAACUUGGAAUGACUGAAGUGCCAUGUUGUGCUGUGUGAGGAUAGGGGUUAUGUCCAGUACAACAUAUUGUCUUCUGUUUGUGUUUUCUUAUUUAUGGACAUGUUAGGCGGUGAGCGAGUCUAUUCACCAAAGUACAGGAGGUUUACUUGACUUAGUAUUUAUGUGUAGGGGCCCCAGGCAAUUGGGUAAAAAUAAAUAUAGGGUUGCCUAGCUAUAUAAUAUGUUAUAUACCAAAAGUCUGAGGCAGCUGCCAAAUGAUGACAAACACAUUUUUCUGUUUAUUUAAUGAAAUUAGGAACCCCACAAAUAUAAUUGUAUUUGUCAUUUUUGGAAUAUUUUAAUUACUGAUUUGUCAUACUUGCGCAAUGUUUGGCCGCUAACGUUGAUGUUCCUCAAGUCAUGUCCACUCUAGCUAGUAGCCAAGCCUGUUCAAAAUAUCAGUGAGUAUGACAGUGGGACCUAAGGUUGAGCUCAGAGACCAAGAUAUGCUAAAAAUGAUCAGAACUAACGUUGUAUUACGGUUAGCCAGCCAGCUCCCAGUCCCAAUCUGCUGCCAACUGUGAGGUAAACAGCCACAACUGCUAGGAUGAUGAGCUAGCAGCAACAACUGGGCUAGCUGACAGCCUGGAUCAUGUGAACAAGCUCCCAGUUACUCCGCCAGCAGCUCUUCUCACACUGGAGGAGCAAGAUGAGACACAAAAGAGGCUUUCUAUUUGUAAAUAUGCAUCUAUGAGUUUCCACUAAUAAAAUAACAUUAAGGAGAUAAAUGUUUUUUCCCUUUUCUUAUCAUUAAUAUGAAAACCAAGCAGCACAUUCUCCUAUAAUAGAAUGAAAUCAAUAAGAAUUUGGUCAAUUACAAGUCUACAAAUAUCUUGACAAAAUCUUUUUACAUAUGGACAAUUCCAAUUCCAGAGAGACUUUGAAUAGGCUUCUGAUAAAGAGAAGUGAUCCUAGUAAUUACACGCUCUUCUUCAAAUCAAGUAUUCUCAAAAAUAAAUACAUAUUUCCAUAGGUACUUCCCAAAGCCAAUUAUCUCUGUAACUGUUUUACACCUGCAUUCGUAGAGGAGCCCUGUCCCAGGUACCAUCUGUUAACUGAAACAAUAGGAGCAAUGUUUCAAUUCCUGAAUAUUAAAAGUAAGGCAUUCUAGAAUAAUUCAGCCAAUGGAGAAUAUAGUUUCCCAUGUAGCCAAAUAACCGGCCAUUUGGAAGUCUGGAAUUGUACCCUAAACGUUGGCAAUAGUUGUGUCGUUGCAGUUGGUAACAAGACAAAGUGACCAUGGGGUCACAGACUCAGACCAAGGGGUCAGAGUGCAAAAUACUUCUAAUGGCUCUGGCAGAACUUUCAGAGCAAUUAGAAACCUUAAAUCAUUACCCCUCGCUCUCAUCUCCAGAAGCUGACAUCAGUAGAAUGAGACUGUUUGGCACUUGACAUUACUUCUAUGCUGCAUUUCAAGUGACAUCCUUUCAGAAUAGUGACAUGAAUUGGAGGAUUAUACCUCUGGGCUCGGACCCCUGUAGGAAGUGCCUGCUCAAGCCGCCAUCUUGGAGCCCCUAACUGAAUUUUUCCAGUUUAAUAUUGGCUACCAUGGGGCCAGGUUAUCUCGUUUCCAUAUUCUCAAACAAAUGACCAGUAAAUAGCUUUUAACUUCACCCUGGCAAGAAGGAUGCAUGUUAGUAGCCUGUCAUAAAAUACUGACUAGUUCCAGACUAGUCAAUGCACUCAACCCUACUACCACAGCAGAGAUGAUGGCUGCUGCACGUUAAAUAGUCUACACAGAUACACUCCAUACAGUGGAUAUAAAAAGUCUACACACCCCUGUUAAAAUGCCAGGUUUUUGUGAUGUAAAAGAAUGAGAGAGAUAAAUCAUGUCAGAACUUUUUCCACUUUUAAUGAGACCUAUAAUGUGUACAAUUCAAUUGAAAAACAAACAAAUGAAAAAUGAAAACCUUACCAUAAGUGCGCUGACAGUUCUGACAUGAUUUAUCUUUUUUCUCAUUCCAUUACCUCACAAAAACCUGGCAUUUUAGGGGUGUGCAGACUUUUUAUAUCCACUGUAUUUUAUAACAUCUGGCUCCAAAUUUUCUUUGUACGCUAGUUUGUAAUUACUAUAUAAACACUUUGGUAACUGUAGCAAGGGCAAGAUCAUCUUAUCAUGAUUGCAUUAUACCGACUACGGAGUCAAUAAAAGCCUCAUAAAGACCUGUAGCCCAGGGACCCCAACCAGGUUAAAACGGCCCGGUGUGGGUGAGUCAUCUGUAGGAGCCUUGUUUAGCCCAAUCCCCGGAGGUGUCUGACCGGGAACCUUUCACAAUGAUCUCUAAUGUUUAUCGUUGGUUGUCCAGCCAAAGAACUUCUGACAGCAGUACAUCUACUGCCCCAUGGCUGUCCACAGAGGAGUUACAUGGAGAAAUGUCAUGACCAGAGACUCAUACACACACACACACAAAACACACGCACACAAAGAGUCAACACUCACUGCUGGGUCUCUGGCGUGUGUCCUGAGGUGCAGGGUGACCCUGUUGUGUCGGCUUGGCUCAGGACGAUGAGAAGAGAGCUGGUGGGACCACCGAUGACUCAUACACACACAAACCUCUGCAGGCUUCCAUAUUACAGCGACAUUAAAAGCCACAGGACAAAGAGACAUCAGAAUACGUGGGUGUGCGUGUGAAAGACGAAAAGUUUUAUCCUUCUGCUCCUUUCCUGCAGGGUGGGUGGGUGUGUGUUCGUCUCCCAGCUUUGUGGACGAAAAAUAAAAAGAAUGUCUGCCUAAUGAGUCCAUGCUGAAUGCUUACAAGGCCUUGGGAAAGUAUUCAGACCCCUUCACUUCACAUUUUCUUGUGUUAUAACCAUAAUUCAUUAUCUACUCAAAAUACACCAUAAACGGAAAAGCACAAUUUUUUUUUUGUAUAUGUGCCAAAUUGAUUCAGAUUGGAUUCCAUCUGUGGCAUAUUCAAUUGAUUGGAAUUAUGUAGAAAGGCACAAGUUUUUAUAUAAGGUCUUAAACUUCACUGUUUAUGUCAGAACCAAAACAUAGCCACCUGGGGAAGGUUAUGAAAAAUUGCUAAAGCAUUAUACGUUCCCAGCAGCACAGUGGGCUCCAUUAUUGUGAAAUAGAAGAGCUUGGAAAAAGCUCAGGCUUGAAUCUGAUUGAACAACUGUGGGGUGACCUGAGACAGAGUUCACUGACGCCCGUCCCAUCCAAUCUGACACAGCGUGAGAGGAUCUACAAAUGUGUGCAAAGCAGGUAGAGACAUACCCUUGAAUAUUCCAAGCUGUGAUCACUGCCACAAGUACUGAAUAAAGGGUGUGAAUACUUUCCCUGUAUUUUAUUUCCAAUAAAUUGGGACAGACUGCUGAAAACUUGUUUUAGCUUUGACAUUAUGGGUUCUUGUGUGUAGAUUGAUGAUAUUUUUUUUAUUUUUAAAACAGUUUAUAACAUAAUGUGGUGAAAGGGGUCUGAAUACAUUUUGACAUUGUGUAUUUGAAUAAUCGUAUGAAUAACAAUUUACUGAAUGAUCUAUGUAAUUUGACAUUUUGUUCUUUUUUAUAUUUCAUUUGACAACACUGGUAAUUAAACAAAUUAUUUUAAGGUGAUGUUGGCUUUAAGGUUCAGAGAUAUUUUUAAGGAAAAAUCAAAAACAAUUAUGUUGCUUACCUAAGUAUUCAACCCCUGUGUGGUGAAAGCUCCCAGUCUACAAAGAAAUUGAACUAACAAGGACACAAUUACUAUUGGCCUGUAUCAAGUGGACUUCUGAGAGAAACCAGUAUGAGGCCAGCAAUAACUUUGAAAGACAUAGAAGUUUAAGGGCUGGGAGUGGAGUUAUGGUUCACUGAUCAAUCAUAUCAUGUGCUUUAAUUAAACUAACCUGUAUUGGAAAGUGGCAAUAAAGAAGCCAUUACUCAAAAAGUACCAUCUGAAAGCAUAACAAUGACACAGCUGCAUUGUGGGAAGGUUUUGUGGUCAGAUGAGACCUUGAUAGAGUUUUUUGGCCAUAACUAAAAUAGAGGCACAAACUUAACACUGCCCUUGCCGUAACAUACAGGUAAUGUUACCUUGCCCUUGUCGUACAUACCGGUAAUGUUACACUGCCCUUGUCGUAACAUACAGGUAAUGUUACACUGCCCUUGCUGUAACAUAUAGGUAAUGUUACACUGCCCUUGCUGUAACAUAUAGGUAAUGUUACACUGCCCUUGCUGUAAUAUACAGGUAAUGUUACACUGCCCUUGCCAUAACAUUCAGGUAAUGUUACACUGCCCUUGCUGUAAAAUUCCAUGCAGGUAACUUUGGCAGUGGCAGCAUCAUGCUGUGGGGAUGCUUCUUAUUAGCAGGGACUGGGCAUCUUGUUAAAAUUGAAUGAAUAAUUCAUGGAGCAAAACACAGGGAAAUACUACAAGAAUAUCUGCUUCAAGAAAUUAAAGCUUGGGAAGAAAUACAUCUUUCAGUAGGACCAUUAUCCCAAGCACAAGGCCAAAGCAAUAUUGUAGGGGCUCCAGAACAAGAAGCUGAAUGUUCCACAGUUGCCUAGUAAAAAUCCAGAUUUCAAUGCAAUUGUCAAUCUCCGGGACUAUUAUAAAAUUGCAGUCCAUAAUCGUUAUUCAACUGACACUCGUUGUUCAUCCGACACUAUAAUCAAAACUGGUAUAUACUUACCAAAAUAUUUGAAGCUGUUAUUGUAGCAAAAUGUGUUUUUACCAAUAAUUAAUUUGUAGGGAUUGAAUACUUAUGCAAGCAAUUUUUAGGGAUUGAAUACUUAAGCAAGCAACAUAUUUCCAUUUAUUUUCGCUACAAACACUUCCCAAAAUAAAACCAUGUCACCAAUAUAUGAUUUUGAUUGUCAGUGUUUUAAAAUAAAAUGUGCAGCAGAAUGCCAUUUUAAUGUACCAUUUGUAAUCCAGUGAUAUGGUAGAUUUGUUCAGAGCCUUGAAUAUGUUUGCAAGGCAGUGUAUAUUCUCAGCUAUGACGUCACCAUCCUAGGCACCAUGGAAACAGUUGGGUUGUCAUUCCUAGAACUGACGCAGAGCACAGAAUGCAGUUAAUCAAGUGUCAUAGGGUGCUGAAUCUUUUCAAACAGUCUUGCGCAUGUAGAACAAAAGAACAUUGACUUUAUUAAAAUCUAUACCUGCAGUAACUAACUGACUGCAGUACUUACAAAAGUUACCUUCACAUAAAAAUGAAUGUAGGAGACAAGUCAAAACAGAUAUGUUACAUUUUAGAUGUUGGCGGGUUUAUGCUGACACUAAUGAAAAAACACAGAUUGUGCACGUUUUCGUAUCUGUGGGUCGUUUCUGAACAGUAAGGUCAGUCACGCCAGCCUCAUGAUGCCAAAGCGAUUGCUGUUUUCACACUUUUGUUCACUCAAACGGAAAACAAUUUGUGCCCACGAGAUCAGGCUGGUCUACUCAAACAGUGUAGGUGUUGUUUUCCUUACUGACUGUUUCAGAAGAGUGUCACCUGUAAACAAGCAAAUGUUCGUGAUUCACCCAGCUCCCUGGCAGAAAUGUUUCUAAUGCAGCAGGAUCAGGUGCUUAUGAUCCAAGAGAAAGUCAGAACAGUAGUGGUCUGGGGUGUAAUCACUAUUCCAAACAGAAGUCCUAAAACUAAAGUUUGCUAUCAGAACGCUAAGACCCUACCUGUUAAAUACCCUUGCAACAGAACAGGUGGAGUGCGUACACCCGACAUCCUUCCGUAGACUGAAGGUGAGCGUACAAAAACUGAUAUGAGCACAAAAAAUACUCCCGGAGAGUCUACAGGUUAAGGUCUAGAAAAGAGUGCAAGGAUGUCACUUUAGUCAGAGAGCUGGGCGGCACGCGUCAACACGGCACCCCCUUGUUUUAUGGAACCCACCGAAUGACUAAUGGUGUCAUCUUUGUCUAAAAAAAAAUAAACUUCACCAUACCUUAGCUUUGACCUACACGAAGAAUACUAUAUGGAGAAAAUGCCCCUCCCCUACCGUUCACACGCUGUUCCUUCUUCUGGACCAAUAAAUAAUUACACUCUUUAAAACACGUCAGGAGAACAACAGGUAGAUAUGGGGUGAACACAGAGUUAGAUACAGGUCUCGCCUUCAUAUGUGAGAUUAUGAGAACAAGUGUUUAAGUGAAUGUUGGGGGUUUAGCAUGGCCAUUAAGUGCCGGAGCCUUGUUACUUAUUUAUAGUGGCCACUAGAUGGUAGUGAUAUAACGUUAAAAAUGUUUCAUGUAAUACCCAAAUUACAACUCACAGAAAUGCGCACCUAGUUGACACCUACUUUAUAAUGACAACAAUCCUUUAAAUGGCAACAAUCAGUACAUACCUCUAGUCCUCUAUCUAACUCUGUGUGAACACUUGUGUCUACUCUGUGUGUAGACAAAUGGGGAGGGGGGUCAGGUAUGUACAAAACGGGAGGGGUGGGGGGCAGUGUGUUUGGGAUGUGGGGGGGACAGUGUGUUUGGGAUGUGGGGGGGACAGUGUGUUUGGGAUGCGGGGGGGACAGUGUGUUUGGGAUGUGGGGGGGACAGUGUGUUUGGGAUGUGGGGGGGACAGUGAAGGUUGGGAUGUGGGGGGACAGUGUGUUUGGGAUGUGGGGGGGACAGUGUGUUUGGGAUGUGGGGGGGACAGUGUGUUUGGGAUGCGGGGGGACAGUGUGUUUGGGAUGCGGGGGGACAGUGUGUUUGGGAUGUGGGGGGGACAGUGUGUUUGGGAUGCGGGGGGACAGUGUGUUUGGGAUGUGGGGGGGACAGUGUGUUUGGGAUGUGGGGGGGGACAUGUGUUUGGGAUGUGGGGGGGACAGUGUGUUUGGGAUGCGGGGGGACAGUGUGUUUGGGAUGUGGGGGGGGACAGUGAAGGUUGGGCGUCAGUGACCGUCAUCCCAUUAGCUCCAGCCAUCCUAAGGUCUCAGGGGCGUCUCUGAGGGACAGACAGACGAGCUGCAUCAGUAACAACGACGUACUCCCAGUGUUCUUCAUCUCUCAGUCUUUCAGCCAAUAGCUGGAGUGUUUCCUGCCCGUCUGCGUAGCCACGGUUACCAGGCAUUCUUAAAAGACACAGAGUCUCUCUCUCCUUGUGAUGCCAACCCCGUUUAGGGGUGUGUGUGUGUGUGUGGGUGUAGUUAUUCAGGUCCUAGAGUUGCUGUUAAUGGAAUGUUUGGAAGAGUCCGUGGGUUCUACAGCUGGUGGUCGUCUCUGCUAUGGAACACACACAGACAAUUAGAUAACCAGACAUUCUCACACACACACACACACACACACACACACACACACAGACAAUUAGAUAACCAGACACACACACACAAACA
ensembl:lncRNA